AACCCCAAAUCAGAAUCCAAAAGCUCUAGUCUUUCUCUACUUUCUCUCUCUAUUCAUCCUUCAUUGAAGAACAAUGAAGCUUGAAGAAGAAGAUCAAAUUCCCAAGUUUGUGCACUCAAAUUUCGUGGAUUAAAUCUCAAUAAGGUUGAUAGAGAGACCGUGAUGAUGACAUUGUGAAGGAGAUUGAGUUGCGGUCAUUGAAGGCUUAUUCGAGAUGACUUGAAGAAGAAUUGGAUAUACUCUACCAUCCAAGUGUGUAGGUCCUCACAUUCCGAGCACGAUGCCAAUAUCAAGCUUAUGGAGUUUCUUUGUUUUGUACGACUAUUAUGUUCACUAUAUUUUCGUUUGAGUAUGAUUUGUAUAAGCCUGUAAGGAUUCUAUACAUUGAUGUAGGGCUAUUCCAAAUAUUUUGUGAUCGAUUAGAUGGUAUGAGA